rnacentral:misc_RNA from 1 species
AAAGUGCGAUAAGCACUGUGAAUUGCAGAAUUCAGCGAAUCAGUAGAUCUCUCAACGCAAAUGGUGCCAGGGUGUAGACUUGCUCACUCGGCAGACGUGGUUCAGCGUUGCAUUCAUUGCAAUCACAACUGCAUUUUUGUUCAGCAAUUUAUUGUUGACGAUUGGUUCGCUAACUUGUAUUGGCGAAUGGGAAUUGCUCGACAUAGUAAACACCUAAAAAUGUUAAGGAUGUCUCGAGUAAAUAUAGUUAACAACCUGAAUCACGUCAGAUUACCCGCUGAACUUAA